CACACACGGAAAUUGGGUGGUUGCGGGAGAAAUCCGUAACGAUCCGCCGGUGGCAGUUACAUCUGCCUCUUUUUCGUGGAGGUUCAACCGGAAAGGACAAAACAA
rnacentral:sRNA from 1 species